AAGUCGACUUUGUGCGACAUACUGUCACUGUCUAUGACUCGUAUUCUGAUUUUACCUCCAACAGUAUGCUUGUCCGAUUCAUGGAGCCUAUUACCCAUACGCUUGCAAAGGUGCUGCAUGAAAUGAGGUUUUAUGAGAAAUCGGAGGUUGAAGCAGUGAAGAGCAAGAGGACUGACAUGUCAAACUUUAACCCAUUCACAAUUUGCAGAAUUUCCGAUGUUCCUCAACAAACUGAUGGUACUUCAUGUGGUAUUAUGACAAUCAAAUUUAUUGAGUACCUUAGUGCCGGCAUUCCUUUACAUACCAUUGACCCAUCGAAGUUUGGCUACUACCGAUUGAAGCUUGCAAUCGAGGCUUUGAGGGGGGAGGCCUAUGUAUGAGGUGGUCCUUCCAGCUUCAUACCCAUAUUGACAUCUCAGAUUCUGUACAUGGAUGUGAAAGAAGUUGCAGGCUGUUUUGUCGUAUUGUGAAUCUUGAAACUGCCUAAGCAGU